rnacentral:lncRNA from 10 species
AGUUCACUCACAGACAGCAAACCAAGGGGUUGUGCUGUCUCCUUGUCUCCCAGGGAUAAACCCACAUGACAGUUUACAAAAACAGGUAAUCAUAAGAAGCAAAUGGCCCAGAUGAAACACAGCAAAAGAAUGAGAAGUGGUAACACUGGGAGUGAAAUUUGAACCAAGCGUAAAUGGAGUGAUCGUAGAAAUAGCUGACUGUGGAAUGUGGACACUCUCUGUAUCUGCAGCCUGGGAAGCUUAAAGAAGGUGAACUUACUGACACCAGUUAGAAAGUGACUGUGAUGAAACGAUGAAGAUGCUCCAGAGGAAGUGACACCAGCAAUAGGAAAAAAAAAACAAACCUCUCACUGAAGGAACUCUCGGAGAUAUUUCAUGACACAGAAGGCACAAAGGAUACAAUAUUGGCAACUAAUCGAAACUUAGAAAUGAUAUGACAGCUCACCAAGGCAUAGAAAAAGAUGCUUGCUCUAUCAUAAGUUAUAGAAUGAGAAGAAGAGUUUCUUUUUGUUUUCCAAUGGUAACGGGAGAGAAAAUAAGCUGUCAUUAUCGGAAUGAUCAAACACAGAGAGAAAAGAGGCAGAGGUGAGAAGAUGGAGAAGAUGAAUACAUUUGCUUUCAGCAAACCAAUGGAAGUCCAUUUGCAUGAUCUGA